rnacentral:lncRNA from 1 species
UAUAGUAGUGAAAGACCUAGUAUAAUAAAUGGUAAAUUCAGGCUCUUAUAGGAUCCGACCCGAAAAUUACAAAAACUGGCCAAAACUAACUAUUUUAAUUAAGUCUGGAACUUCAAUGAAUUAUUUAACCUUCCUUCACUUAGAAUCAGCUUUUGACUUCAACAUGAAACUUUUAGAUUAUCCUCUCAGCUUUCCAACG